rnacentral:lncRNA from 1 species
GGGUGGGCGGAUUUUAGGCUAUGAUAGAUGGUGUGGGCUUAAAGUUAUGUUGGGGGUGGGUUGAAAUAUUUUUUAUCAAAAUUGAAUCGGGGCGGGUUACAAGUUCGCCCCAUAACCACACCGCACCCCUUGUCAUCCUUAAAUCAAAAUAAUCCUCAAGUAUACAUGGUCAAACAAGUACUCUCUCUAUUUCAUUUUUCUUGUUAUAGUUUGACUUUCACAAAGUUUAAGAAAAGAACAAAAAUAUUUUUUAUUAAGAAAUUAUAAGAAUGUUUGAGAGGGAGCUCAAAGAGAACUCAUUCAUGGCUACCCAACCCGAGGCCACUAAGGGUUUCCAAAAACAUCCUCCAAGGUAUGAAGGUAAAUUGAAUUCUACUUCCAAUGCCAAGGGGUUUCAAUGCUUCAAGUGUCAAGGGUGGGGGCAGAAGGCUAGUGAGUGACCAAACCGGCGGAAUAUGAUCCUAAGGGGGGUAGACUGUACUAUCUUGGAGAAGAGGUGGGCAUUGAAUAGGUUAAGAAUGAUGACAAACCGCAAGAUGGAGAGCAAAAAGAAAAGUGCAAAAUGAAUAGUAUAGAGAAGAUGUGUGGCCGGAAGAAGGAGAUUGUGAAGUGCCUUUGUAAAAGAGGCGAGCCUAUGAAUUUGAGGUCAAAUUCCUCUCAAGAUGGAUAGGAUGAUACAAGUAUGAUCAUGAUCAUGACACUUUUGAGUAUUUUUGAAGACUAGUCACUAAAGGGCUCUUUUGUCAUUUCUCUAUUAUUUGUAAUGUUGUAUAAAUAGAACAUUGUAGGGUUUAUUUUCUUAGUUUAUGUUUGAGAUUGUAAGAACACUCCUCUUGUGAGAGAGAGCUCCAAAACCAAAAUUAGGGCAUAGCAUAAGGGUGGAUUCUCUUGUGUUCCAAAGCUUGAUACCUUGGUACUUGAGAGGUGGACGCCCUCUUGUGUCAUUGUAAGAGUUAGGUGCGUGUUGAGUGUGGUGUUAAGGGUCCAAGAGUUACCAUUCUUGGGUUCUUAAGAUUACAACUUCAUUGUGUCUAACUAUCUAUCUUUGUUUCUUGUUCUAGUUUCGGAUUUCCCUUGUAUUGUUGUAAAA